rnacentral:lncRNA from 1 species
AGUGGUGUGAAGAAGAAGAAGAGGAAGAAGAAAAAGAGGAAGAAGAAGAAGGAGGAAAAUAAAAAGACAAAACUAACAUAAAAAUUUCAGGAGCUUCUUUGUAAAAUGAAUAGAAAUUCUUCAAUAGGCCUCUGGGGCUGAGAUGUGAGGAGGAGGAGGAAGAAAAUGAGAGUGGGAAGGACGCACUGGAGGACUGUUACUAUCUGAAUCCUAUCGCCUACAAAACAUCAACUGAUCAAUCAGGCACAAGAAAGUGUUCUGCUUCUUUCUGUCACCUUAGAAAUAACCUGGACGUCAAACAUCGGUGAAAAGAAGAGAAAAAAAGGAAAAUGAAAUAACCUGGAAGCUCCUGAUGAUUUGAGAUCAGAUCUUUACAUACUAAGAGAUGGUUGCUAUAUCUGGGGGCCUUGAGUGAAAGGCAGCAGUGGGAGCCCAGCACCCAUUUCCAGACAACUCCACAGCCCAGAGCCCAAACUCAGCAGUUAUGAGUUGAAUUUAUUUUGUCAAACAAAAAGAGUCAAACUCUGUAAAAUAUUGCAAGAGAUUUAUUCUCAGCCAGAUAUGAGUGCCCAGUGGCUUGUGACACAGCCCCGAGAUCCUGUGAACAUGUGCCGAAGUGGUUGGGCUCCAGCUUCUUUUUAUACUUUAUAUUUAUUGAGAUGUUUUAACUCUGCAGGCCAGAGAGAGAGACCUAUCUGAAACCAGCUUGGGCAGCUGGAGAAGAAUGAGGGUGAGCAGACAUCUGGGCAAGCCGGAGUUUGGGAAAACUGCCAUCUUCGACCUUUCUGGAGCAGCAAGAUACUGGUGUGAGUCUGUCAGGAGCUUCAGCCUAGCUGAUGAAUAGACAGGAGAGAGCGAUGGGCUCUACAGACCCGCUCAGCAGUUCUUUCCAACUUGGAGUGCUCUGGUCAUUUGCAUCUGAAUCCUGCUGUGUCUUCUCUCCAGUGGAGAUUUUCAAACCAGGCUGCCAUCAGCACCCACUCACCACCCUAAGUUUGAAUAUGGACUUUGGAGCUGGGCAGCCCUUUUGUGACCAUGAGGCAACAUUGAAGAUGCAAGCCACAUGCUAAGACAGAAGAAAAUAAAGACAGAACUAAGCUGGGGCAUGUAUGACAUUUCAAGCUCUCAGAUCAGCCCUUGAUGGCCACCAUCCAUAUUUAUUGACAUGAAAAGAAGUCCUCAUUUUGUCAAAGCCAAUGAUAUUCAGGACUGUUAUUAAUAACAAAAUACAAUUCUUCCCUCUACCCACUACAGUGUAUCAUGAAACUCUUCAAACAUAUAGGAAAGUUGAGUAUGGAAUCUCUAUCUCCAGCCUUGAGGUCUCACCUGGACUCUUGGUUAUUCAAUGGACUACUCUGCAUCUCCAUGUGCAUCUCUAAUAUAGACUCCUCAACCUUAAUGUAUCCACAACUGAACCUUUGGUUCUGUACCACUCCCGUCUUGCUCCUUGUCUCUCCGUUUCCCCAUCUCAGAAAUUAACAACUUCAUCUUUCCAGUUACUUUUCCUUCCUUCCUUCCUUCCUUCCUUUCCUUCCUUCCUUCUCUCUCUUUUCUUUUUUGAGAGUCUCACUCUGCCACUCAGGCUAGAGUGCAGUGGUGCACUGCAACCUCCACCUUCUGGGUUUUAGUACAGACAGGGUUUUACCAUGUUGGCCAGGCUGUUCACGAACUCCUCACCUUAAGUGAUCCACCUGCCUUGGCCUCCCAAAGUGCUGGGAUGACGGGCGUGAGCCACCGUGCCCGGCCCAUCUUUCCAGUUUCUUGGGACAAAAACCAAAGAUCUACUUUUCUCCUUUGCCAUAUGAGGACACAUUUAAAAGGCUGUGAACAAGGAUGCAGGCUCUUACCAGUUACCAAACUGCUGGUGCCUUGGUCUUACAUUUCCCAGCCCCCAGAGUGCA